UGCCCGUGACUGACGGAAACGUGGAGUACCACAGGGGAGCGGGAUUUUCCGAAAUGCCGACCGUCUGGGCGC
rnacentral:ncRNA from 1 species